rnacentral:rRNA from 1 species
AUUGAACGCUGGCGGCAUGCCUUACACAUGCAAGUCGAACGGCAGCACGGGUGCUUGCACCUGGUGGCGAGUGGCGAACGGGUGAGUAAUACAUCGGAACGUACCUUAUCGUGGGGGAUAACGCAGCGAAAGCUGUGCUAAUACCGCAUACGCCCUGAGGGGGAAAGCGGGGGAUCGCAAGACCUCGCGCGAUUAGAGCGGCCGACGCCUGAUUGGCUUGUUGGUGGGGUAAAAGCCCACCAAGGCGACGAUCAGUAGCUGGUCUGAGAGGACGAUCAGCCACACUGGGACUGAGACACGGCCCAGACUCCUACGGGAGGCAGCAGUGGGGAAUUUUGGACAAUGGGGGCAACCCUGAUCCAGCAAUGCCGCGUGAGUGAAGAAGGCCUUCGGGUUGUAAAGCUCUUUUGUCAGGGAAGAAACACCGGCUCUAACACAGUCCGGGAAUGACGGUACCUGAAGAAUAAGCACCGGCUAGCUACGUGCCAGCAGCCGCCGUAA